rnacentral:lncRNA from 1 species
UGUUUUUCCCCCCUUCCAUCCAGGUGUAAAACCACCUUUAUUCGAUGUUUCAAGCCAAAUUAUGUCAAGGUGGGUAUGCAACAUUAAAUGUAGCCAACUGCGCCCUUUCUAGGCCAAAAGUUACAAACCUAUAUGAUCUCAUAUCCUGUCCGUCUGCCCUCAGCUUCCCGGUAUCUUUGAUGUGGACUAUGUGUCAACCCAGCUGAGGCAUGCUGGGAUACUUGAGACCAUCACCAUCAGGAAGGAGGGAUUCCCCAUCCGCAUCCCCUUCUCCUUCUUUAUGGAGAGGUACUGGCCAAACCAACCAACGCAAACUAAUAUUCAUUCACACGGUUUAACCACCAUCCACACACAUACAGUACCAACCGUACAGUAUACCAGUAUCUCACUGGGAGAAAGUCAAACUCGGAGCCAACCACCACUUGCUGCUUCAUAGAUCUCGUUGAGCUUCUCCUCAAAUUAUUAUUAUCCCUCCCGUCCCAUCUCCCUCUUACCCAGGUAUGGAAUCCUCCUGGUGGAGCGACCAGCCACCAUGUCUGAUAAGGAGCAGACCGUGGCGUUGCUGAACUUUGUAGGGGCUGAUGAGGGACAGUACCAGCUAGGACUCACUAAGGUGUUUCUGAAGGAGGUGCUGUACCAGCGUGUGGAGGACAAGUGGAACAGCACUCAGACCUGGGCUGCGGUUACCAUCCAGAGGAACAUCAGAGGGUUCAUCUGCAGGCGCAACUUUAGGUUCUUCAAACAGAAGGCCAUUGUCAUCCAGAGCCACAUACGAGGACAUCAGGCCAGGUAUGGAGAGAUGAGAGAGAGAUGUGUAACAAGGGAGGAGACGGAAGAAAAACGAAAAGUCUUGAGAUUGAGAUUGCAGUUAGUGUGUCCACCUGAAAGUGACUGACUGGUUCCCCGUCUGUGUACAGGCAGUAUUACAAGCGUCUGAGACUGUCCUUCACUCAGUUCUGGGCUGCAAUGAUGAUCACCAGGAACACAAUCAAGAGACGACAGUGGAG